CAUCGACAGGGCACGCGGUGUGAUAGUUACUAGUAUACUAGUUCUAUUGGGUGGCUUCUUUUUACGGAAUCGAUCCGCGAUUCUCUCUCAUGAGAAGCAAAACGUGGUAAUUUACGUAAAAAAGACGCGCUAAUUACGAUCGAUGUUCUUCAAAAUUGUUAUACAAUUAUACUCGAUCGUUACCACGCUUUACAUUAUGUAUAUAAACCGAUGCUAAUUACGUACGAAUUUUGUCUAGAUGAUCAUUCUAAUUAAAACCACAUAUCUCUGAUUAGAUCGUGUUAGUCAGAAGCUCUAACACGCAGAUAUUAAUCACAGCGCAAACAAAGCUGAUCGACACACAUAUAUACGUUAUUGACAACCAAUACAAUAGUUAGUAUAAUAUCGUGACGAGGCAUUUUCGACAUUAAUCGGGGAUGUUGCACGGAGAAUUCGACGAGCCCACUUCAUGUUGUUUCUCGAUGUUGCGUCACAUGUAUCGAAUCGAAUGCAUCAUGAUUUUGCGCGACACAGCCAAGAUAUCGCGUGCAUCAUAGAAGCAUAUGACAUUCCCGGUAGUAAGAGUUGGCCACGUGUGUGUUAUCUUCGCUAACACGUUUCCGAUGUUUGUUUUAAUUUAGUCCUAAGGUCGGUUGGUGUGACGGAUAAAUUCACUCGUACCGACAAAACGAAGACAGAAGAGUGCGUGAAAACUUCAGGCUGAUCUAUUUCAGUGGUACGACGGCCAUGUCGGUACAAGGCUAUCGAAAUAGUAACCGGCUGCCUGUAUGUGUGUGUGUGUAUGAGUGUAACUUUCGUCGAGACUCGUCGCGAUUAAAGAUGGCGACACACGUCUAGUGGUUUUCGGAUGAAACGCGAGAAAAAGAUGUCUCCCAUUGUGACAUCGCUUCUUUUCCACUUUUGUUACACGAAGUUCGACCUUGAUUCACGAAUUCCUAGGAUGGAAAUACGAUUUAGUGUCAAGGCUGUUGGCGAAUAUAUCACGGGAAUUUUUGUGACCAUGUUGCCGUUUCGUUGAUUCGCUUCGAUGUCGUGAAGAUCAUGCGGGAAAUCUUUCGUUCGAGAAUGAUUCUUUACAUCGUUUUCUACGUAUAUUUACGUAUUUUCUGGUAUCAUUAUGAAUACCAUGGAAGAUAAUUGCUACGUGAUUUUCUCUCUCUCUCUUUUUUUUAAGGUUUCAGUCAACCAUAUGAAGAUAGGAAUGGUCGUUUGAAGGAACGUUUGGAGGAAUGAGAGAGGAGGGAAGUGAGAGGACGAUAAAGUUUCGAGGAUAACGUGUCCAAGUUGCAAGAAUGUUGACAUGUAUCCAGCGUGCGUGAAGAUAAUUACUUUAGUCACUAUCAUCGUGUUACUUGACCCCUGAUUAAGCUAGCUGCAAUGCUAGCGGAAUGUGUGUUUACUUACGACACGGUUUACAUCAAAAAGUCCUGAUUUUAAAAAUUUUGCAUCGUCGUAAAGUCUCGGUCUGUGGUGGUCAACGAUAACCUCUGUUCUACAAUUUUCACUCGACUGCUCGAAAAGUCUGCAGAAUUGAGACCGAGUUUGGUCGAAGAGAGAUCGACGUGUGUGCAAC
rnacentral:lncRNA from 1 species